ACGAAAUGUUGUGCGAAGUAAAGUGAGUACAUGUGUUCAAAGUAAAUUGGUUUCAAAAUGUAAAAAGGGUGUUUUAAAAACGGAAAAGAGAAGUGAACUAGCAGAAAAACGAUGAUCAAUUACAAGAAAAGCAAGAUGAAAAACUGAAUUUAAAGUUUCGCGACCUGCACGACUUCAACAGGUGAGACUGGAUUUUCUGACAACGAGUUUUGAGGAAUUUUAAAUCAAUGUUUUAUGUUGAAUGUUAAAUUUAUGUAUUCAGCAAGAGAAGUUGAGAGUUUAGACGAGAAUGGUUGUUAACAGCAGAAUGGAGUGCAAGCAAGAAAGUUUUGAAAGCAGAGAUUCUUUAGUUUCGGAAGCUUGAUAGAAUUUCAGGUGAGACUAAAGAUCUGCGGGAGAAAUAAGUAUCUGAAAGUGCCAGUAAACGCGAAGCUGAUUCUAAGUGUUUCUUUCGGUCAGGCGUGGCAACAAGUAAGAACAAGAAGAGCAAGAUUUAUUUGUGGUGGACAGUUUUUGAACUUGAAAGCCCAAAAAAAGUCACAGUACCAGAACAAAGAUUUUAACACUUUGAAACAUCUUUAUCGUUGUUUCGCUGAAAAGUGUAUAGAGCCAAGAAAUUUCCAGCCAAGUACCAGAGUAUUAGUACACUAUUGUCCCGUACCAGUUGGACGGGCAUAGUAAAUGUGUGAUCAUGAUCAAGGUUUUUUUUGUUAUUUACAAGCUACAAGAGUACAAGAGAGAUGACACGAGUCUAAUGAGAAGUUUGUUUGUAUAGUAUUUGAGUAUAUUUUCGUUUGUUGUUUGUAGUCCUUUAUGUACUCGUGCAACAAAAGGUUGAAUGAAAACAGAAAGAAAACAAUCCACAAAAAUUUAAAUAAAGUGGAAGCGACAGAUGAAUCAAACUGAUACAAGAUUACGAGACUAAGAAUGCAGAAUUCAGAAUCGCGAUGAGUAGUUUGAUUGACGAAUCAAAUUUACCCUACUUUGAUGUUAUGUGUUGAAUGUUCAAUUUUGAAGUAACAAUUCGAUAAACUUCCGAUUUGUGAUAAAAGAUCAAAACGCUCAAACAUUCAAACAACCUCAUUAGGAAAACUCGUAAUGAUUCCAGAGAGAGAAGAUUGUUCUCUUCCUUAGAACAAAGAUCUGUUCGGGAAUAAGGGAGAAGGAAGAUCGAGUAAUCGGUUUACUUAGCAUCGUUGAAGAAUAAUCAUCCUUUGUUAAGGUGAAUCUAUUCGCUAGUUCGACGUACGAAUGUGGAUUUUCGAUCGAGCCCGAUCAAAGGCUUAACUGUGAAAACAGUGUCAAAAACCCGGGCCUAUUUUGACUUGAUUUUUCCUAGUAUAAAAAAAUUAAUAAAUGUUUUACAUUUUUAAUUUUUUUAAGGGGGAGUGUGAGGUAGUGUUACCGUUGCGGCUAUAUGCUCUACUUUGCCCCUUAAUCAGUCAUGGGCAACUAGGAGGAUUUUGCAAGCUUUACAUUAAAAUUAGGGUAUCACAGAUUAGAGAGUUUGUGUAGUCUUAAAAUUAAAAAUUGUCAAGUAAAUAAAAGUAAAAUAAAUAUCACAAACAAUAUAAAAUCAGAGCACAGCUAGGGAUCAUAACCAUAAAACACACUGUUAUUGCAAACCGCAGGAACAAAGUUUGUUAACACACUGUACAAACCUACAUUGCGGGAUUGCUACCAGAAAAGUACGAAGUAGUACUGUAAGGAGAGGACUAGAGGAAAAAGGGAAUAAAGGGGCUAACAAGAAGCGAGAGAGUACUCUACUGAAGGUCAGCAUCGACUUGGAAGACCUUUUCUACUUGACCUUCCCAGCAAGCAACAUCGAGCUGAAGAACAAGAAGUGAUCGUCAAGACUUAGCAAAUUUGUCAUUGUACAUGUAGUAAGUGGAAAAUUAGAGGAGUUGCACAAGCAAAGAUUGGCGAAUCAGGACCCAAGGUUUCCGCUCAAGAACCAGAUCACGGCGACCGCGAACGAUCGCCACCAGCACGCCGAAGUGACGGACUCGAUGCCGAAGGCUAUCCGGCGAAUGUCCACCCAAGAACCGUCUGAAGACCCGGCACGUGACCACGUGGUCCCGGUCUAACCCACACCCAAGAUGUCGGCCUGCAAGGCCGGAGAUAUCAGCGCCCCCCCCCCUCCUCGUGCGUGGCGUGGGCGUACCUGCGAAGAGCAGGCCAGAUGCUCCAGAAACAAGUUCCGGACGCGGUCGAGGGCGAUCGUGGACCUCCGGAGCAAGCCAGC